rnacentral:rRNA from 1 species
UAGUCCGUACGAGCGCACCUUGUCCUUAUUUGCCAUCAUUUAGUUCGGGACUCUCUGGAGAGGGCGGUGUACCGGGGAGGGGGGAGACUCUCUCCUGGGCUUUUGUGGGGGUCUACACGGUCUAUGGGGCUCAAGGGGCGCCGGGGGCUUUCCUAACUCUUCUGUUUGUUAUGACUGAUUGACCGUAAUCCGGACAGNUUUGGGAAUUUUCCGGGUUGGACACCCCCAUAAGGGGGGGUGAGUUUUUUGUAUGUUGCUCUUCUGAUGGGGGGGGGGUAGGGCCAAGGGGGGGGGCGUGGCGGGGUGUAUGAAAGUGAUAAUAAGAGGGAAGGGUGUUUGUUGUUUGUUAAAUAGGUUUGGAGGGGCUGACGGG